rnacentral:rRNA from 1 species
AUGGCAAUAAAUGAAGCAAGGGGAUGGUCGGCCAUGCCAGGUAGUACUGAUUACAUGCAUUGGAGGUGGAAAAACUACCCGGUGGCUUGGGCAGGGCAAUACACCGGCCACAAACGCAAACCCACCAUCGUGCUUAAAGCCGUGGCCUCACAUGAUCUAUGGAUUUGGCAUUGCUUCUUUGGUUUGCCAGGGUCUCCCAGUGAUAUCAACGUUUUGCAGCAAUCUCAUUUGUUUGCUCAGCUAGCUAGUAGCAAAGCUCCAACUUGCAGGUAUAUCGUCAACGGCCAUGACUAUAUCACGGGGUACUAUCUUGCCGACGGUAUUUAUCCAUCAUGGUUAACAUUUGCGAAGACCAUUAGUGACCCCAAAACAAACAAGCAUGAUUUUUUUUUUUCAAAGCACAAGAAGCUUGCCGAAAGGAUAUUAAGAGGGCAUUUGGUGUGUUGUAAGCUCGGGUUGCCAUUGUUUGAGGUCCUACUCGCUUUCGAGAUAAAAAAAUCUCUUUGA